GUUCCUCAACUGCGUUGCCCCUCCAGUCAGCAGAUGGCGAUGUGCGUCUUUUACGUUCAGGCGACGCUGCCAGUGUGACGUAUAAUCUAGUGGACGGGACGCUCCUUCAACAACAACAGUUAGACACCUCGGUAGCUUUAUAGCAAACAUAGCUACAACAUUCACUCUCUUUACACUGUUUUGGUGUAUAUUAGUCGCUGUGUAUUAACCACACUUCUGUCGUAUGUACGUGUUGGCCCAUUUAAUUAUAUAUUUACGUUGUUUGUCAGCUAGCUGGUUUGCUAAAUUAGCUUAGAACUAGGCUAGUUGCUAAUGCUAGCUAGCGAACAUCUCCGACCAUGAGUUCACUAAGCUACUCUCCUCCUGCUAAAGAAGAGGAGGUCUUCUGGACGGAGAAAGAAGCUCUCCUGAAAGAGGAGGAGGAAGAGAAGGAUGUUACAAUACAAAAACAAGUAGAGGGUGAGGCUGUUACCGUGAAAGAAGAAGAGAAAGACGUUUCAGUGAAAGAAAAGGAAGACUCGUUCGGAGUGAAAGAGGAGGAGGAUGUUACAGUAAAAGAAGAGGAAGCGGAGAGAGAGGAGGAUGCAGUUUUGGAGUGAAAGAGGGGGAAGGGGAGAUGACUGUCACAUCGAAAAAGGAGGAGGAGGACGAAGAAGAGGAAACUGGAUAUCUGGGCCCGGUUUCCCCAACGCAUCUUAAGGCAUCCUAUGGUUCUGACGGUGAACUCAGCCGUAAGAUGGUUUUGAGAAACCGGGCCGUGAUUAACACUAGAGAGAGACGUGACUAUCGUGGAUCCUCUGGGGAGCCUCAACAACAUCAUGAAGCUGACGAGGCUGAGAAGAGUCCCUCCCGAUCAGAACACCUCAAGAAACACCAGUGGAGACCAACAGGGAAGAAAUCUCACUGCUGCUCUGACUGUGGGAAGAGUUACUUAAGAUUAAAUUAACUAAAAGUACACAUGAGAAUUCACACUGGAGAGAAACCUUAUAGCUGUGAUCAAUGUGGGAAGAGUUUUACUCAGUCAAGCAGCCUGUUAUCUCACCAGAGAACACACACAGGAGAGAAACCUUACAGCUGUGAUCAAUGUGGGAAGAGUUUUACUCAGUCAAGCAACCUGGUAUCACACCAGAGAACACACACAGGAGAGAAACCUUACAGCUGUUAUCAAUGUGGGAAGAGUUUUACUCAGUCAAGCAACCUGGUAUCACACCAGAGAACACACACAGGAGAGAAAUCUUAUAGCUGUGAUCAAUGUGGGAAGAGUUUUACUUCAUCUAGUCAUCUGAUUAUACACCAGAGAACACACACAGGAGAUAAAUCUCAUAGCUGUGAUCAAUGUGACAAGAGAUACUCUGAUGAAAGAUCUCUGAUCAAACAUCAGAAAAUACAUUAAUGAAGGAGUUGUUUCAUGAUAUCAAUGAAUUAAUGUCACCAUGUAGAAUGUUUAAACAUUGUAGUAGGAGUAUUUUAAUGAUGUCACAAUGUAGAAUGUUUUAACAUUGUAGAAGGAGUAUUUUAAUGAUGUCACAAUGUAGAAUGUUUUAACAUUGUAGAAGGAAUAUUUUAAUGAUGUCACAAUGUAGACUGUUUUAACAUUGUAGAAGGAGUAUUUUAAUGAUGUCACAAUGUAGAAUGUUUAAACAUUGUAGUAGGAGUAUUUUAAUGAUGUCACAAUGUUGAACACUAAACGUUUGCUCCCUGUUCAAUUGAUUUCUGCAUGAUAUGGAUAUUAGCCUCAGGGGGGAAAUCCAGGCUCUGAAUGUAAAGAGUGAUAUUUAUAUGAUAUAACAGAAAGUGACUAACACAAAAAGAGCUGUGUUACACUUACAGCAUUGGUGACCCACUUGAAUCAAAAUGAUGCUAGAUGUUUUCUACAAGUUGUCCUCUAACCAAUUGAUGUACACAUUAUUCCCAGAUUCCAUGUGGUGUUUGAGCUGUUAGUUUUAACGGGACAAACUCAUCUCCAGACUCUCACGCAAUUGAUUUCAACAUGAUAUCGAUGAGUGAUGAAAAAUAAGUGUUGCGUUCCUUUGUUUAACGACCUCUAAAUGUAAAUGCAUCUCUCCAAAAUGUAGCUGACUGUCUUCUGCAGGUUGUCCUCUAACCAGGGAGGUAAAAUAUAUCUCCCAUUUCCAUGUGUUUUUUUAGUUGUGUUAGUUUCAACAGCACCUACAACCUGAUUUGUCCGUUAACCAGUGAUACUUAUUACUUAUACUUAAUACUUAUUUUCCACCAUAAUUUGCAAAUAAAUUCAUUAAAAAUCCUACAAUGUGA